GAUAUGCUUAUGAGAAAAUUAUGUACUUAGUUUGCUUAAUUAGUACUUAUAUCAAGGAGUGAUUUAAGGAAUGACAUAUAUCUUGUAUCUUCUAUUAUAAAUAUGGACACUUAUGUAUUAUGCCAAGUACAAGAAAAUGAAACUGUAAUCCUUUAAAGUUCAUUCCAAUUCUCUCCCUUUCUCUCCCUUUUCUUCUUUCUUCCUAAAAACUCAACAGUGCCAAUGAUGAUGCUUUUGUAUAGUAGUAAAACUAGGUAAGGUUGAGACCCUGGAACCAAGAGGUCCCAUGUUCAAAUCCCACCAUUGUGGGGUUGGUUAUACUUACAUAUAAUUUGUUUGUGCGUUUGCUUUGUAGAUAUACGAAAAUUGGCAUCAUAUGCCAAAAGAAGCAUUAUGCAUCCAACUAUUCAACUCCUAAAGAAGUUCAUUAAUAAACAAUUAGAACAAGCAAAUUAACCAUGAUCAAGCACAAUUCUUGCAGGAACUGAAUAGAAACCAGACAAUAACUAUAAAUCAAUAAGCAUUUAGUUAAAAAAUAAAAAUACUUGGCCCGUUCCAAUAGAUCUUCACAACGUAACCGCCAAGCAAUG
rnacentral:misc_RNA from 1 species